rnacentral:piRNA from 1 species
UGACAUGAACNCAGGUGCUCAGAUAGC